rnacentral:rRNA from 1 species
UACGUAGGGGGCAAGCGUUAUCCGGAUUUACUGGGUGUAAAGGGGGCGCAGACGGCGAUGCAAGCCAGGAGUGAAAGCCCGGGGCCCAACCCCGGGACUGCUCUUGGAACUGCGUGGCUGGAGUGCAGGAGGGGCAGGCGGAAUUCCUAGUGUAGCGGUGAAAUGCGUAGAUAUUAGGAGGAACACCAGUGGCGAAGGCGGUCUGCUGGACAGCAACUGACGCUGAGGCGCGAAAGCGUGGGGAGCAAACAGG